rnacentral:rRNA from 1 species
AACGUAGGAGACAAACGUUAUCCGGAGUUACUGGGCGUAAAGGGCGUGUAGGCGGUUUGUUAAGUCUGGCGUGAAAGCUCUCGGCUAAACCGGGAGAGGUCGUUGGAUACUGGCAAACUAGAGGACGGUAGAGGCGUGUGGAAUUCCGGGUGUAGUGGUGAAAUGCGUAGAUAUCGGGAGGAACACCUGUGGCGAAGGCGGCCCCCUGGUUGGAUACUGACGCUGAGACGCGAAGCGUGGGGAGCGAACAGG